rnacentral:rRNA from 1 species
GAUGAACGCUGGCGGCGUGCUUAACACAUGCAAGUCGAACGGAAAGGCCCAAGCUUGCUUGGGUACUCGAGUGGCGAACGGGUGAGUAACACGUGGGUGAUCUGCCCUGCACUUCGGGAUAAGCCUGGGAAACUGGGUCUAAUACCGGAUAGGACGAUGGUUUGGAUGCCAUUGUGGAAAGUUUUUUCGGUGUGGGAUGAGCUCGCGGCCUAUCAGCUUGUUGGUGGGGUAAUGGCCUACCAAGGCGUCGACGGGUAGCCGGCCUGAGAGGGUGUACGGCCACAUUGGGACUGAGAGAAGGCCCAGACUCCUACGGGAGGCAGCAGUGGGGAAUAUUGCACAAUGGGCGCAAGCCUGAUGCAGCGACGCCGCGUGGGGGAUGACGGCCUUCGGGUUGUAAAAUCCUUUCGCUAGGGACGAAGCGUUUUUGUGACGGUACCUGGAGAAGAAGCACCGGCUAACUACGUG